rnacentral:tRNA from 1 species
CCUUCGAUAGCUCAGCUGGUAGAGCGGAGGACUGUAGAGCGUUAAAAGGCAUCCUUAGGUCGCUGGUUCAACUCCGGCUCGAAGGA